UAUGACAAACACUGCAAAAACUUCAUAAAGAGAUAAAAACGUAAAGUAUUCCUCUUUAUUAAGUGGAACUUUUUCUUACACUUUAUAAAGUGUAAGAAAAAAUUACACUUUACAAAGAGGAAUAAUUCACGUUUUUAUCUUUUUAUGAAGCUUUUGCAAUGUUUGUCAUACA